UUUUUUCUUUUUUUUUUCUUUGAACAUUUUCAUUUGGUUUAUUUAUUUAUAUCUCAAGAACCCUUUGUUGUUGUUUUCAACUAUAUGCAGGAGUAGGGAUAUUAUCAAUUCCAUAUGCACUGGCAUCAGGGGGAUGGCUGAGCUUGGUUCUUCUUUUCGCCAUUGCCACUGCUGCAUUCUACGCAGGCUUGUUAAUUCAAAGAUGUAUGGAUGCAGAUCCAACAAUCAGAACUUAUCCAGACAUGGGGGAGCGAGCAUUUGGGAACAAAGGGAGAGUGAUGGCAUCAGUUGUUAUGUAUAUCGAGCUCUACUUGGUGGCGACUGGAUUUUUGAUUCUUGAAGGAGAUAACUUGCAGAAUUUGUUACCCGAUGUGGAGUUUGAAGUUGCAGGAGUAACAGUGGGAGGCCAAAAAGGGUUUAUUAUAAUUGUAGCUCUCAUAAUAUUGCCUACUGUUUGGUUGGAUAACUUGAGCCUUCUUUCUUAUGUCUCAGCAAGUGGGGUUUUGGCUUCUGCAGUCAUCUUGGGUUCAGUCAUCUGGACGGGUGCAUUUGAAGGUAUUGGGUUUCAACACAAGGGAACACUCAUAAACUGGGGUGGAAUCCCCACUGCUGUCAGCUUAUAUGCCUUCUGUUAUUGCUCUCAUCCAGUCUUCCCUACCCUUUACACUUCAAUGAAAAAAAGGCAUCAAUUCUCUAAUGUGAGUAUCAUCAUCCUCAGCCUCACAUUUCCAAAUUUGUUUUUCCAAUAAACAGGGUUCUGAUGUAAGGAACUUGUCUGUUUUUUUUUAGGUCCUGGUUGUAUGCUUUGUCUUGUGUACCAUCUGUUACACAUCAAUGGCGAUUUUCGGCUACUUAAUGUUUGGGUCAGAUGUUCAAUCACAGAUAACUUUGAACCUUCCAACAGACAAGCUCAGCGCAAGAGUUGCAAUAUACACCACCUUGGUCAAUCCCAUAUCCAAAUACGCAUUGAUGGUUACACCAAUUGUGAAUGCCACUAAAGCCUGGAUUCGAUAUCCCUGCGACAAGCGAGUCGUCAACCUCUUUGUGGGCACCACCCUGGUGAUCAGCACGCUUUUGGUGGCUCUGGCAGUUCCAUUUUUCGGUUCCCUCAUGUCACUAGUUGGAGCAUUUUUAAGUAUCACAGCUUCAGUCAUGCUACCAUGCGUCUUCUACUUGAAGAUAUCAGGAACUUACCAGAGAUUCAACGGCGAAUUAUUUGCUGUAAGCCUAAUCAUUUUGAUGAGUGUUGCGGUGGCUAUAUUUGGUACUUACACAUCUGUAUUAGACAUGAUAGGCAAAUUAUAAACACCAAUGCAUUGGUGAGUUUUGUCUUAUUUUGUUACAAUAUAACAAAUUCUAGUGUAAUUUUAGAGGGUUCCUUACCAAAUUCAGAUCAAGCUUUCCUUUUUAUCAUAAUUGUGAAAUCUGUUAUUUUUCUACUCCUUCCGCCACUAUUGUUAGUUGUAGGUAUACACUAACUUAUUGUUUGAAGGGAACUGUUAACUGGCCCACGGUAGUGGCACCCCUUAGGCGAGUUUUUUUAACCUGGACCGCGGCCUAUAAUGCAAAAUUGGAUUUCUUUCACAGUGCCACCAAGAAUGGCUCAAUUCAUAUCAACGGUUAGUAACUACCUUCUAUUGAUUUAAAUAUCCCCCCAAACCUUUAUUUCUUUACAAUCAAGCAGUUAUUGUAAUCUGAAAAACAAAAUGGAGCAAACCCACCAUGGAAUUGGCAUCAAAGUUUACACUACUGCAACACCACCCCCAGAGGAGGACCCUACACCACUCUCUUCCCUCCCUCGACUGCCACCAGAACCCGGCCGCAAACGGAAAGUGGUAGCCAAAGGAGUUCAAAAAACCAUUUCCAAAACUUCUAUGCUUGUCAACUUCCUACCAACAGGCACCCUUUUAACUUUCGAAAUGGUUCUUCCUUCUGUUUAUCGCCAUGGUGACUGUUCCCAUGUUACCACCAUCAUGAUAUACUCCCUCUUAUGCCUUUGCGCACUCUCUUGCUUCUUCUUCCAUUUCACCGAUAGUUUCCGAGGCCCCGAUGGGACUGUUUACUACGGUUUCGUCACCCCCAACGGACUUGCUCUUUUCAAACCUGGUCUUGAAGUCGAAUCCCCGAAAGAUGACAAGUACAAGGUUGGACUUACUGAUUUCGUUCAUGCUGUGAUGUCGGUGUUGGUGUUUGUGGCCAUUGCUUUCUCGGAUCAUAGAGUUACCAACUGUGUUUUCCCAGGACAUGAGAAGGAAAUGGACCAAGUUAUGGAGGGUUUUCCGCUUAUGGUGGGGAUUAUUUGCAGUGGCUUGUUUCUUGUGUUUCCAAAGACUAGAUUCGGCGUUGGUUGCAUGGCUGCUUGAAAUUAGCCUCAUGGUUGUCCAUUUAGCGUCUUAGUAUAGAAAAAUGCUUAAUUUGAUAUGAAAUUUUAGGAAUAAAUUUCUUCAACAAUUCAUGGCUUCUGCCUGCAGAAGAUUGUACCAUUGUUGCUUAAUAUCUAUAUUUUUUUCUUUUGUGGUUUCAUAGAAGUGUGUUUGGAUUUAUGCAAAUUUGAAUAUGAAAAGAUAACUUCCCAAGAAUCUUUUGACAAAUCCACGCAGAUCCAAGCUCCAUACAUCUGAAUCCGAGUAACAAAAAUACAUACAUUCAGUUCAAUGCUGUUUUCCAGACUUUACUCUUCAGUCUCAACCUUCAGCAAAAAGAAACUGAAGAGAAAUAGCAAAUCAUAUAUAUUUCUUUUAGUUGCAACAGAUCAAAAGGACAGGGAUAUUGCAUCAGACAUCACAAACGUUCAUAGAUAAAAAUAGGAGAUUAACCCACAAAAUCGUCCAAAAAAUACGAGUUGCAGAGAUAUGAAUAUAUCUAAAUCAUAGGCUUGCAAAGGAUACAUUUUUCUAUAAUUGUAACUCGGAGGGUGCGAGCUCUAUCUAUGUAAUAGAGAAUUGAAGUCUUCUUUAUCGAUCAAACUGCAAAAUACGAGUAACUCGAUAAGAGCCCUGCAAAACCCUUUGAUAGGCAACCUUCAAUUGCACAUGGAGACUUCGAACAACACACAGGACUACUGUGUUUAGCAACUUCCAUGCAAUCAUCAGAUGCAUCAGGGGUAACCAAUCUGUGUGCAAUCAACCUACUUCUCUUAGAAUUCAAUGAGCAAUUCAGGUCUGGUGUGUCCGACAAGUGCGAAUCCGAGGACUCCAUUUCGUAAUCAUGACAUUCGAGCAAUUUCCUCUUCAUCCCAGGAAAUACUCUUAAUCCUGCCACGUGAUAUUAUUAUAAUAAAAUCAGUUAUCUAUUGCAAUCCGCAUAAGCAGCUAACUUACAUAAAUGUAAUGUGACAACUAAUAUACAACAUACCAGGCAAAGUGUCCUCAUAUGCACACAACUGGGGCUCCGAAUCAACACAGCAACAGAAAACAUUUGAAUCUUUGUUGGAUCCUGAAAUUCUGCAAUGGGGUAGAAAGAUAAGGGGUUUGAGGCAUCUAGGUAUAGUGUGCAUAAAAUAGCAUUAUUUUAUUAGAAAAUUUCGGAAGAUCGGGAUAGUGAAUAACCAAAUGAUACAAGGUAUGAUUACCAGUAAAUAAAACAAAUGAAUGAGAGUGAGUGAGUGAUCACAUAAGAGUUAGUAAAAUACAAAAAUUAAAAUAUUAUAAGUAGAAGGAUGAUAUGACAAAACACUAAAACCUACAUUGCUCGGAGUAAAGAGAGAGUGCUAGAUAUAAAGUAUGUGUGUAAUAUGGGUAUGCUCAAUUAUUUUUAAAUGUUUUUCUUUGGGGUAUAUUUGAAGAACUGUACCCAUGUACAAAUGCUGUAUAAGGAUACUUAAAGGAAAAAUGAAGAGUUCGAGUAACAUAAACUAAAACAAUCACAAUAAGAACUUGAAAUUGUAGCCCAAAAUUAACUGUGUAAUAAAAAGAUGGCCAUCAAAUUUUCCUUAUGAUCAUGUAAGGUAUAGAAAGCGAACCUGUACAUGUGCUCAACAAAGUCAUCAAUCAGAACAGGCCAAGCACCUGCAAAAUAACCAAACAACUAAGGUUCAAGUGGCACAAAUACAUAAGAAGACGAAAGGAUAGAUUUAUGGAAACUUAAUACCUUCAGGAUCAUACCCUUCCAGAUUUUCAUGUACACACCUACUGAAUGCUAAAACUUGCUGCCAUGUAUCCUCUGAAAUAUUGUGACGCUGAUAUUCCUGAAAGGAAAUCAAAGACAUCCAUUGCCUCAAUCAAGAGAUUGGUGGUAGUCAUUAGCAGGUAUACUUUCAACCCAUGGUAUGAGUGUCGAAUACGGAUACGUGACUAACACGAGUAUGUUCAAUUUUUUUUUUCAAGUUUUUCCAUAUAUUUGGAGUGCCAUAUCUCCAUACCCAUGUCAAAAUAUGUGCCGGAUAUCAGACAUGAGUACUUCAACCAAAAUGAAAAAUUGGAGCAAUAUAGCUUUCAGCUUGAACUAAUACGCAAUAACAGAACAAGUGUAUGGCCCGAGAGACACUAUCAACCAUUUUCACAUGCUUGGCAUGCACUAACAAUAGAAACUGGAGAAGCAGACAAGUCACUCCCUAUAUGAUAAAACAAAUGUUGGACCUAUCAUGGUAAUAAUAAAUCAUUUAUAACCAAUAUCAAGAUUCUAAUGACAUUUUUGUCCAAAAGUUAAAGUGGUCUACAAUGGGACAGCAACCAGUAGUUUCGCAAGAUGUCUCCAAGACAAGCAUAAAGUGUUAGUCUCUUGGUAUUAGUCAUGUUCAUACCUCAACAAAGUUGCACCAUUUGUCAAGUAGUCGAAAUCUGCCAGCCAACACUAAUCUCCAUGCAGCAACCGCCCUGCUUAUAGCUAUUGAUCACACCAAAAGAAAGAGAAUUAAAUACGACACCAAAGAAAUUUCUUGUAAUUUACACUUAGCUAACUUCGAUGUUAUUCCAAGGAUAAAUCAGUACAAGCAUUUGCAUUUAACGAUAACUUACUAAUAUUCUUUUGACCAUUUUCUCGGCACAUGAAGAAAACAAAAUCAUAGAAGCAUGAGAAUUCAGAAAAGUCCACCUACAGGAAACAACAGCAAGCCCAAAUUUUAGUAUGGAAAACAUGAUACCAGAAAAUAAAACCAGUGUACCGACAAUGAAGACCUUCAAAGAUACUCGAUACUGAAGUCUAAAAUUACUAGUUAAAUCAGUCCCUCAAAGAAAUUCAAUGAAAAGGAAUCUCACCGUCAAGUCUAGUUGUAACAUGAGCUUGUGAAGUUCAUCAAAGAUGGCAGUCCUGUCAAGGGAAACAUAACCAAUAAGCAAUCACUAGUGUAUAACCAAUUAUACGAUCAAAUAACCAAUAAACAAGAUUGGCUAUAGAAUCUUGUUCAGAGGUUUGAUAAUGUCUUGGGGAAUAAUAUAUUUCUUUUUCACUCAUCGCAUAAUCAUAAAUGACACAGUAACAAUCUAUACACAUGUAGGAUUUAUAUCAUGGUCAAGGAGGCAAUAAGCAAAUCAGAAUCAAGCUAGAAUCUUCAAAAUUCAAGCUUAAGAUGGGAUUGGCAGAUCCGAAAACUGCGAAGAAUGGUAAUUAGUUCACAUGGCAUCCCGUAAAUAUGAUUCUUUGAUUUCAAGACUCAUCAACCAAUUGUCUAAUCUUCCUGAGGGAAAGCCAAACUCCAUAUACUUCUAUCUACAGAUUAUAGACAUGUUCACUACCCAUUACCUUGUGUGCAUCCUUGACUCCACCAUCUUUAAGAGCUGAUUCAAUCUGUCCCUCGAGUACUUAGCUCUUUGUGAUUCCUCAUCUUGUCGGUAACCUUCUUCGCAGCAAACAUAAGUAUCUCCUCUUCUAAGUUCUGCAAGACAGCUUAAAAGUUAACUAAAUAACAUCAACAGCCCUCUGAAAAAUUGUUUUUUAAGUAACAUCUCGAUCACAGCACAGAAACUUCUGAGAAGUUGAAAUUCUAAAACUUCAAGCAUAUCAGUAAAAGACCAAAAACUUUAAACAUUUUAACUAACUCUUUGACCAAAUCAAAUUACAUUUCUUGCAUUAAAUUUUGGGGGUAACUUAAUUAGAUUAAUUUUUCUAUAAUUAAACUUCAGAUGGACCAAAAAUUGAAUUAAAAAAAAAAAAACUUCAAUUCUUUCCUACCAAAAUUAUCAGACAAUAAAAGUAACCCAAAUAAACCCUUAUCCAAUUUCCAAUCUAUUUUCACCCAAAGAUUCACAUGUAGAAGAGCCAACCUUCCCAUAAUAAAUCAACGGAAACAAUUAUUUUAUCUCUAACCAAAUUGAAAGAAUAAAGAAGUAAAAUUUUAUAACAAAUUGAAAGAAAAAAUACCACAAAAUUGCCGGUAAAUUUCGAAGAUAUCAAAGCGCUUCGGACCCAAAGAGUCCAUCGGAUUCUCAGCUGUUUCCGGAGCUCGGACGAGUUGGGGUAUUUAUUUGGGAGGGUGAAUUUCAAAGGAAACACACAGAAGUAAUAAAAAUUGGAACUUGGUCUUGACGGUGUCGUUUAAAAGUUGUAGUCUCCUCUCUUCCUCUGUAUUUUACAAAAAUCAGGUUUCCUUUGGAUUUUGUUUUCAGGAAGAGAAAGAAAGGAAACGAAAACGAAAAUACUGGUUUUUCGGUGAAAUUAACAGGAGGAAUGAACCGGAUCCCUUCCGGUUCAGGUGAACCGGGUGCUGGUAAUGCUUGUGACGCAGCGAUAUCCUGUAUCUUUAGCCCCUUUUAUUACCGAUAUCCUGUUUUUUAUUUUCACUCGACCCAUCUGAAAAAUAGAAAGAUUUAAAUAAAAAUAUAAGUUUGAAAAAUAAGUUUAGUAAAAAAGAUAAAGACUGUUGAGAAAACAAGUUAAGUCUCGAGCAAAGUUUUUUAAUCUAAACUUGACAUAGCCUAAAUAUGUGAGAAAUUCUUUUUUUUUUAUUUUCUUAUCUUUUUACUACUUAAUCUUAUCUAGGGAUAUUUACUAAAAUAUUAUAACAAAAAUAAAAAAUUAUCAAAAUGUUAUAACUUUUUUUUAUUUACCAAAAUAUUAUAAAAAAAAUUUAUUUACCAAAAUAUACCCAAAAAAACAAAAAACAAAAAAAAAAUCUGACACAGCCUGAUCAGGCCAAUCACAUUGGAGGCACCAAGGGUGCCAAUGAGAUUGGCGGCAUCAAUGGUGCCAAUGUGAUUGGCGACACCAAUGGUGCUAAAGAACUAAAAUGUAACUUUUUGCAGUUUUAAGGACCUGACAUGCAAAUUUACCAUUUUGAAUUUUGAAAGUAAAUUGCUGCUGCUGUGCGCACUAAAAUUAAAAUGUGGCUAAUUGUCUUCUAAGCCCUCCUUAUUUAUUAUUUUCUUUUUAUUCNNNNNNNNNNNNNNNNNNNNNNNNNNNNNNNNNNNNNNNNNNNNNNNNNNNNNNNNNNNNNNNNNNNNNNNNNNNNNNNNNNNNNNNNNNNNNNNNNNNNAAAUUAAAUUAAAAAAGUUUACUUAAUUUUAUUAAAUUAAAAUAGAGUUAUUACUUAAUUAGAAUUCUAAGUAUCUUAAUUAUCACUUAACUAAUAUUAGAUUUAAUUAAAAAAAUUAAUAGAAAUACCAGGCAUGCCUUAUUGAAAAACCAGAAGUAAUAAUAAAACUGAUCACCCAUAAAUGUAACCCAAAUAGAAAAAAUAAAUUAUAAUUAUAAACUAUUCUCAUCAAAUUUAGUAAAUUUUUUAAAUAAAUUAUUCUCAUCAAAUUACUAAAAUAAAUAAAAAGUGAAUUGAAGGGAAAUAAAAAGAAAAUAAUAAAUAAUGAGGGCUUAAAAGGCAAUUAGCCAUAUUUCAAUUUUAGUGCGCACAGCAGUAGCAAUUUACUCUCAAAAUUCAAAAUAAUAAAUUUGUAUGUCAGGUCCUUAAAACUGCAGAAAGUUACAUUUUAGUCCUUUAGCACCAUUGGUGUUGCCAAUCACAUUGGCACCAUUGGUGCCACGAAUGUGAUUGGCCUGAUCAGGUUGUGUCAGGUUUUUUUUUCUGUUUUUUGUUUUUUAGGUAUAUUUUAGUAAAUAAAAAAAAUUUAUAAUAUUUUGAUAAAUAAAAAAAUGUUAUAAUAUUUUAGUUAUUUUUUGUUUUUUAUAAUAAUUUUGUAAAAAACCCUCUUAUCUAUUUCUCUCAAAUUGAUACUUAUAUGUUUUUUUUACCUUAAAUUAGUACCUGAAUUUUUUUUAGGCUACUGAAUCUAACUGUGUAAAGAGUUUAGGACCCAUGACAGAAUAAUAUUGAGACAUGUGAUAUAAAUGAAGUCACAAUGAUGUCAUAAUUAAAAAAAUUACUUUUUGACUUUUUCCUCCCCCAAUUUUGUUGACAGUUCUUUUUCCUUCUUUUAUUCUUUUUAUUUUUUCUACGCUGUCCACACUGUCUUCUUUCAACAGAUCAAAAGCAUCCCCCAUUUUAAUCUAGCAAUAUAAUCCCUAGCUUGAAUGACAAACAUGAAAAAAUGCUUCUUAACUUUAUCCCUUUUCUGCAAACACGACCAUCUUCCUUUCAGUCUCAUGAAUGCUUUUUUACCCAUUCUUUCAAUCUCUCUGAUCUUCUCAUUGAAUGCGUGUUGAGUCCAACUUAGAUUUUGAUGAGCGUAAGGGACUCAAACCCAAUCCAUUAAUGGAUACCCUUUACUUCCGACUACCCAAACACCUUUUACUUGGCCUUUAACGGCGGCUUGAUGAAACACCGUUUUCUUGAAGAUUCGUUCGUCAGACAUUGAAUCAAGCCAACCAAUUGAAACGUCAGUGGAAACGUCGAUUGGGUCUACGAUACCUUGGAGUGUGAUGGAAUACGAUUGUUUUUGGGUUUUUUCCGUUUGUUUCUUGUUUAAAUAUGCGGCGGCGUUGGUUCUCGGAGAGAUGAAGUCGUGCCGAAGAAUAAUUUGAAGUCCAUGGUUGCCGUUCAAGCUAGGGAUUGUAUUGCUCGCAAUACCCAGGUUGUUUCGAUGCCCAAGUGAAGAACUUGUAACUCAAAUUACCGGCGUCGCCACACUGGUUCAAUACGCGUUCAGUUAAACCACAACGAAAAACGACGCUGGACUGUUGUAAAACGAGGUUCAUCUUUAGGGCCUGACUGUGGAGUUUUCAGAGGAUCCUGUAAAUAAUUUCGACAUCGAAAGCAAAGUUGUCCACACGUCGGUCACUGCCGGGUUCAAAUUCGGGUUGUGGGCUAAAGUUAAGAAACAUUCAUGAGACUCUAUGGUGACCAGAGACAGUGAAGAAGACAGUAAAAAAGAAAAGGGCUAGAGUUAAGAAGACUGGGAAAUAAAAAAGAAAAAAAAAUGGAAGAAAAGGAGGGAGAGUGAAAAUGAAAAAAAAAACAUAGAUGAAUCAACAGGUCAAAGGGGUUUUGAAAGUGCAACACAUGGCGACAUGCGAUUGUCACAUCAGUAAAAUUUUGACGCCUUAUAUUUAACCAUGAUUAAUUUUAUUACUAUUUUAAAAGUAUUUACUUGUUAAGUUAUACUUAUAUUAGUAUUAUUUAAGUAUACAUAUUUUUUAAUUUGUUUACAUUUAUUUUAAUAUUUUUAAUAUUUUUAAUGUAUUAUAUUUUUUAAAAAAUAUAAAAUAAUAAAAAGAAUUAAUACGGGUGGAUCGAGUCUAAGUUUUAACAUUUUUAUCUGAACUAGGUUUGGAUAAAAUUUUAAGCCCAUUUUCAGAUCUGGCCUAACAAACUGACAUAAAAUUUUGGUUGGGCUGCCCAUGGACACCUCUAACUCCACCCUUCCUGUAAUAUUCUAGUUUAUCUGUCAAAUUUUUAUCUAAAGUAAUUUUUAUGCACCUAUAAUAAUGAAAGAAUAAUUGUAAAUUUACAAUAGAAUUUAUAUAUUGAAGACGUAUAGCAGGCGCAAGUAUUAUUACUUUUAUUCAUCUUUUAUUUUACAUUAUUAAUUUUGAAGUUCAUAAAUCUUACAAGUUAAAUUAAUCAAUACGAGUUAUCAAAUUAAAUCAAUUAGUUAAUCAUUAGUUAUUAAAUUACAAAAAAAUUGUAAUUUUUAAAUGUGUUUGGCUAAUAGAGUGUAUUAUAAAUUAUAAUUACAUAGUUACAUAAUUUAUAUUUUUAAAAAGUAUUAAUUACUAUAAAAUGUAUUAGUAUGAUAAAAAUAAUUUCUAAACAAGUAACAAAAAUUAAAAUAAAACAAUCCGAAUAAAAUAAUUUCUAUUUGCAUAAUUAGCUUCGAUCUUAUAAUAUUUAAGUUCACAAUCCAAAUAGUUUUAGCUUUAAUUAUAAGAACUUAUAUAAACUUAAUUUGGAAAAAAAAACUUAUAUACUAGAUUAUAUCUUUUUUUAUAAUACGUAAAUUAAGUAAAAAAUAAUAUAAAAUUUAUAAUAUAUAAUAUAUAACCUUUAUUUAAAAUGUUUUAUAGACUACCCAAAACUUUCAUAUAACACUUUUUAUAAAUAAUAUAAUUUUUUAUCACAAUUUUGGAAAGUUAUUUUUUAUAAAUAAGUUAUGAUAAAACAAUAAGUAUAUUAUUUUAAUAAUAUAUAACAUGGAAAGAUAAUUAAACUAUAAUCAUAUUUUUUGGCCAUAAGUUUUCAUAAAUAAACAUAUUAAAACAUUUUUAUAACAUGUAGAUUAUUUUUUUAUAAUAAAAUAUGUAACCAUAACUUUUGGAAAUUUUUAGAGUUUAAAUAAUAUUAUUUUUUGUUAUAACUUUAAAAAUAUACAAAUUAUUUUUAUAAUAUAAUUUUUUAGGAUUAAUAAUAUAAGAAUUCUUUUUUCACCAUAAUCAUACUAAACACUCAUAUGUGUUCAUGGUUAUAAUAUAAUUUGUAUACUUUGUAUAAAAAUAAUUUUUUAAAAAUUGAAUUUCAGAUACAACUACCUGCAUAACUAUUCAAAUUCACAGCCUCUCCCUAAGAAUCGAAAAGUGUAAUUGGGUUCUUCAAUUACACCCAAUUUGGUGAGACCCAUCAAUUACAAUAGACAAUAGUUAUGUGGCUUUCCAAACAUUACCUUAAUAAAACUAGCUUCUAAAAUCACUUAAAAAAUCUACCAAUUAUUAUAGAGACAAUGAGCUCAUGCUCAAGCUCUAGUAAAAGUGAUUUAUAAAAUUUCUAUUUUUUUUAAUUUUUGUAUUUUUAUAUUUUUUUCUUUUAUUUUAAAAUAAAUUUAAUAAUUUUUAAAAAUAUUUUUUUCAUGUUUAAAUAUUUUUUAAGAUAUUUUCCGGAUGAAGAUGUCAUUGUGUAGGAUGCGUUGCAUCAUAUAUGAUUAGCCAAAGAUUCCAAUCAGUAUUUUAACGUCUAAAGAAUGUAUGAUAAUGUUAGAGACUAAAUUGAAACUUAUGAUAAAUUUAGGGACUGAAAUAGAUUAAAAAGGAGAAACAAAUAAUAUACUUUAGAGAUUAAAGUAAGCAUUUAAUUGUUUUUUUGAUAACUUUUAUUUUUUUUAAAUAUGUUUACAUAGUUUUUUUAACCGCAACAGCAGUCAGCAACAUAUUAUUUCAACAAUUAAAUUGAUUUCUGUUUUGGAUUCUUAAUCUUGCAUUAUAACUCUAUUGGUAGAUAAAUAUUAAAAGUAUACACUAACUUUAAUUAAAUGUAUAAUUAUUUGAUUAAAUUUUCACGAAUUAUUGAUAACCACUUUACGUCCAUAUAUUGCAUACACAAAAUAAUUAUAUUAAUUUAAAAUAAAAAUAAAAAUAUGUAUUUGUUUCUUUAAUUGUGUAUAGUUUAAUCAAAAUCAAAGUUUUAUAUAUAUAUGAAUCGCAAUUCAAAUUUCAUAUAUAUAAUUGCAUCAAAUCAAAGUAAAUAUUAAACUAAAAUUCAUUUAUAAACUUGAUAUUUAUUAUUUCAAUAGUUCUAGAAAAAAAUGAUAAAUUUAAUGUUACCUACAUAUAUAAAAAUAUUCAUGUUUGAAACCCCCUCCCAAAUGGGAAAUAUGUAUUUAGCUCUUUUUGAAAUUAUAAAAUUUUAAUUAAUACAAGGAUCAAAUGCAUUCUAAUCCCUAUAGGAAUAUAAUUUAUCUAAAAAAAAUUAUUCCUCCAAAUAUAAUAAAAACUUUGAAAAAACAAACCCAUAUCAAUCAGACAAACCCUGGUCCAACUAACAGUACGUCCCAGUAAUCUAUAUAAUAAGCCUUAAUUUUUAUAUUAAUCCACAGCAUCGUUCGCUAAAUAGAAUCCUAAAGGUUCUUAAAAUCAUUAUAUUUACUUAGCAGUAGCACUGAUGACUUAUCAAUGUCUCUCUUCCAGAUAUAGCCAUUGACAUGGUUAAACCAAGACAUAAAUCACAUUCCAUUUGUAAUCUAAUGCUCAAACAAAUCAAAUUACUUUCGAAUAUAUAUCCACACGCUCUUCAUCUCACCCUUCAAACACCGUGACAGACAUACAGGUAAAACUUACUGGAAAGCAGGGAAAGAUGUGAGAAUAGGAGAAGAAAGGCAGAUAAUACUCGAUGUCAUAUCACAAGAGAUGACUAACCUUCUCUAAGUCUCUGGUCCGGAACCUUAUUACCUUCUAAUUCUCUCAAUCUCUACAACAGCUUAUUGUUAUUUGUUAUAUACUACCAUGGAGCUCAAAAUGCGGGCAAAGUUACAGUUUCUAUGCCAUGGAUGUAUCUUAUCAAAGGAGUCUGGAAUAUGCGCCAAAAUCUCAUUAAAACAUAGCAUGAAGUUUUAGCAAGGAUAACCAAAUGAGAACAAGCUAACCAUAACUACCGGAAAGAGUUCAGAUAUAUCAAACAGUAACUGGAAACACAGCAAUCAUUCAAGGAUCGAUCAUAUAUAGGAACAGAUGAACACCCUUGUUUCUAUUGUCCGCAACAACAACAUAUAAAGCAUUGUUAUGAGUUCAAAAGACCCUGUAAGGCAUGCAACGCCAAUCAAUCACUUUCAGAUAAGUUUAGUUGAAUAGUUACUUUUCACUCUAAUGAUGGGCAUCUCGAAAGAAAAUAUUUAACAUCUCAUAUCUUAACACCACCACUAAUCAAACAGUUCUACAUGAUGCAUAAUACCUAAAAGGUUUUGAACUUUCAAAGAUCACCAUAAUCAAUAAGGGAUUUGUAGAAACCAUAAGUGCAUAAAACAAAUUCCCAAAACAUACGUUUCAAGGCUAAAGUACCAUCAAAAAGCGAUUCAAAGGAAAUGGAAAGAACAGCUUCUUAUAUUCUCCACUAUAACCAACUGUAUGUAAUCCUUACAACGUUUUGCCAUGAAAGCUUAUUUAAAGACAGCAUAGUUUCUGAUUAGACUAACCAGAGAAGGGCAUUCCUCAAUGCAUUAUGACUACUUUCUGCAUUGCUUUAAUUCCUCUCUCUCUAUGAUAUUCAUAUCCCAAGACCCUAUUUCUUGAUCUUUCUUUGCUUCUUUGGUCCUGGAACCUCCAACCUGCCUACAGAACAUCCACACCUGGCUCGGAAUACGAGCACCGCUCGUCCAUUAACGGGUGCCAUCUUCUUAAGUUCAGCUUCCAAUUCCUUGUGAUGAUCGCGGGGCAAUUCGAAAAGCCCUUUCUUAACACCAUCUUUAACCAAAGUGCAGGAAUUCUUGACACAUUCCUCAGUUUCCAACUGAAUAUCGAAUUCGGCCGCCUUCCUAAGCCCUUUACAGUUAGGGUUCCUGCAUUUCUUGGUUGUACAUAGAAGCAAAAUCCAAGCAGCUAUUGCAGCACAAGAAAAACCAAGUCCUAUGGACCCAUAUAUCAUAGGAGCUCUCAUAAUUUCCUCACCAAUAACGUAAAAGGCAGUUCCAAUGAAUCCAAUCAAUUUCAAUGAUAGACACUUUAUAGUUGGAUACAACAAGAAUCCACAAGCAGCGAUCACAGCAAUCAAGAUGACAACAUCAAUGGCAGCGGAUCUUGAUCUUUCACAAGAUGGAAUCUUUAAACAACUUGGUGAAUUGAAUACCUUUUGUUUCUUGUAAAGAUUGUUUCUUGACGACGACGACGACGAUUUGUUGUUCAUCACAAGAUCAUUUGAAUUCACAGAACUUGCCAUGAUCGGAGCUGAAGAAGCCUGGUCAACCGAGUUGCAGACUGAGAUAGAGUUACGGAAAUAGACCAUUUCAAAUCAAACCCGGAAUUUUUAAAUCCAAAAAUAAGGAGAACCCAAAUUGAAACUCCUAUAAAUUUCCCUCCAACCCAAACGCCAAAUCCAGAUCAAACCCACCUCAUAAAAGCUUAAAAAGGAAACAACUUUAUUACUUCCACCUCAAUAUCACGUAAUUCAGUUUGUAUCCAAAUGAAAAAAUUCCUAGGAAAAAAGAAAAACACAAGAAGGGGAAAGUUUGAAUCACAAAGGAAAAUGAGAUUUGAGAUUGAAUUAAAAGGACGAAAAAGAAGAAAUGGAAUGGAUUUAAUUAAAGAAAGGCCGGCUAUGGAGAGGGAUAGAAGGGGGACAAAUGAAGAGUCAUUUUAGUUUUUAUCCUUCUGGCAUUAUUAUUUGUUUUAUCACAAAAUUUUGUUGGGGAAAAGCUUGAUUUGUUUCCGAUGUUGUAAAAGGGAGACUCAGACACGUUUGAAGAAAGAAAGCAAAUCAUUUUGGUGGGUGGGCUUUUGACUAUAGGAAUGGGCUCAACUUUGCUUUUCCAAUCAUGUCUUCAUCAUUUGUCUCUUUUUUCUCUUCAUUUCUUUCGGAUUAAAAUGCAGGUUUUUUACUACAGGUGAUUACGUAAUUCAGAUUAGGCUCUUUCCACCGCCAACUUAAUUUUAGAAAAUACUAUAAACCAAUUUUAAAUAAACAUCAUCAUUUGUUUUUUAAGUUUAGGAGUAUAAAUACAAUACAUAUUCACAUCAACACUUGAUGUGAGCCACUUAACUCAUGGUUGAGUCCAAUAUGGGCCAAGCAUGACCGAGUUUGCAAAGUUGAAAACAUUAGAUGGAAUUAACUUUAAUGUGAUAGUAGUACUCUUAAAUUUGAAUUAAUAUAAUUAUAAAUGUGAACAUUCUCCAUUAUUCAGUGUAAAUUAGAUGAAGAUGCAUGGAACUAAAAUUAUUAAACCAAAAUUAAUGAAUUCAGUUGGUUGGUUUUAGGAAGUGGCUACACCAUAAACCCUAAACACAACUCUAACCUCAAAUCAUUUCUUUUAUCAAUUUAAACUUAAUUCUAUAUAAAAAUUCUAGAAAAUUAAAAUAUUAAAUAUGUUAUUGACGAACUAAUAUAUUUAGGAAAUAAACAAAAUUAUAAUCCAAUAACAUUUUGAAAAUAAAAUUAGUAAUAUCUUCAAGUCGAGUUAUCUGCCAUUGAAGAACACCCAAAACUGACAUUUUAAAUGCUUGUGAAAUCAACUUUGAUACCAUUCUUAUAUUAAAAAAUACCACAAAAAUUUAUUUUUUUCGUACUCAAGUCAUUUAAAUUAAUUUUCAAAACCCAAAUAAAAAGAAAUUUUAUUUUGAUUCUUUUAUUUUCUUAUAAUCACAAUGCUAUGUCAAACAACAAAAGAGGUAAAAAAAAACAAAGAAUCAAUAAUUUUACUUAAUGUUUUUACUUUUUUUUUUAUUUUUUUUAAAGAACGAGUAUUAGAUGUUUCUAUACAAAUAAUAUUGAGAGAAAUUUUGGAGGAUUUAAAAAUAAUUUUUCUUAAUUUUCUCUCACGUUAUCUAUAUUUUAAAUUAUUAUAUCCUUUUAUUUAGUUUUUAAUUUUUAAAUUUUUCUAAUUUUUUAAAAAGAAUUUCAUUUUAUAUAUAACAAUGGUCAAAAUUAUAGAAAGUAUACAAAUUAAGGGCUAAAAUUGUUAUUAUACCAAUUAAAAAAGUGUCAUUUAAUGGUUGGGUGACAAAAAAUAAUUUUAAGAAUAUUAGUGGUAAUAUUGUAAUUUUUUAGUUAAAUGACAAAAACAAAAACUUACUUAUAGUUCAGUGAUUAAAAAUGUAGUUUACUUUUUUUUCUAAUUAAACCUAAUAUCCACUAUAAUCGCAUUAAAUUGGGGAUGAUUCCCGAUUCUUAUCUAUAAAUUCAAAAAACUAAAUAUUUUUUAAUAGUAAAAUCGAUAAAAACAGCCGUUUUAAUUAAAUAGGUUAAAAUGUGAUGUUAAUUUUGGAUUUUUGAUAAAAAUUGAGAUUUAAUCUUUAUACUUAAAAAAAUCAAGUUUUUUUAUUUAAUUUUAAAAUCUCAAUCAAACCAAUAACUUUGUUAGCAUUUUUCAUCAAAUUUUGUCAAUUUAACAAGUUGAUUAGACUGUCUUCGUAUAGCGUGACUUAUUAUUGACAAAACUUUAGAAAUAAAACCAACUUUCGAAUUAGACAAGCUCGGAUUUCCAUCGUCGAUUGUUAGAUCAACCCAAUUUUCUAAUAUAUGCUUAUUCUCUCCGGUACCUCGCUCCUCAUCGUUCAAUUUUGUGGACCAAUACUUGGAGGGCCACAAACCUACCAUAGGCCAGACCUAAGUUUUUAGGUUCUUGUUCUUUGAUUUCUUCUUCUCUCUUUUCUUUUCUCUAUGAUUUUUUUUGUUUGACUAUUUCUUGCUUCAUUGUAUGUUGUGUUUAGUGUUGGAUUUAAUUAAUAAAGGGUCAUUGGUUGGCGAGGAGAGUUAUUGAGACUUUGUGAUGGUUGAAUGAUGAUAUUGUGAAAUAAAAUAAUGUUUGGAAGGAAGAAAAAUGAAGGGAAACAAGAAAAAAGAGAAAAAAAGAAAAACUGAUGGGCUUGGGAGAGAAGAGGGAAGCAAGAAAAGUUAGGUUUAAUGAUGUAUUUGUGUGGGAAAAUUGAAGGAGAUUGAUUCGAAUUUUGUUGGUUCUUGAUUUUGGGGUUUGGAUAUUGAAAGCAGGAAAAAAAGAAAAAAAGAAAAAGAAAAUAAUCUAAUGGAACUUUAGGAAAUAAUUAUUUUAAUCAAUGCAAAAAAAGAAAAAAAAGAAAGGGUGUUGUAUGACAAUCCACGUGGGCGUUAUGUGGCAAAUUAAUAUGCGACAUCAUACUCUCGUUGUAACAGCCCAAUUUUUAGUGGUGUCAGAAACAGUGAUUCAAGACCACUAAAUCCGAUAAGUGAGCUCGUAAAUUUUAUUAUAUAUUGUUUAUGAGUCGAUUGUGAAUUUAGGAAGGCUUAUAAAUCAGUGAAUUAUGCUUUAGAAAUAUUUGUUAGAUUAAUUAGUUUUGAAAACAAUGUAUCGAGACCUCGAUUUUAUAAACCGAGCUGUAAAUAUUUUUAUAAAUAUUUACGGAGUGUCAUUAAGGUAGUAUUAAAGUUUCGUUAGAAAAUUUUAUCGUUUCGAUAGUUAAUUAAUUAAAAAAGACUAAAUUGAAAAAUGUGCAAAACUUGCUAAACUGAUUAAAUAGCAUAAAUGGUAAAUGAUGGAGGACUAAAAGGGAAAUUAGACACCCAAGUAAUGGCUGAGGCGUCAUAAGCAGAAAAAAAUCUUGGAAUUAGGUGAUUUAAGGGUAAAAUUGUAAAUUUGGUAAAAUUAAGCUUAAAUAAAAAGAAAUCUAAAGAUUGCUAGGCAAUUCUUCUUCAAUUCUCAGCCAAAAACAGCCAUUAGAGAGCUGCUUAAUCUGGAUUUUAUAUUUUUACUUCAUGUAAGUUUAAUUCUUGCUUUUCUCUUGAAAUUUUUAUGUUUUUGAGAAUUUUACAAUUAGGUCCAACUAUCUAAUUCAUUAGUUUUUAAUUCUGUGGGUAAUUUUGAAAGUUUCCAUUGAUGAGUGCUAGAUGUUUAUGAUGAAUUAACAUGGAUUUGAAGUCUUAAUUUUGUUAUAUGGAGAUUUUAUCAAGUAAUUUCAAUAGAAAUUGAUUUUAGGACUAAAUUGUGAAAAAAUUAAAUCUUAGGGUUUGGUAUUAAAAUUUGUUUAUUAAUGGCUGUGUAAUAGAUUAUAAUAUUUAGAUAAAGUGUUAAUUGAGAAAAUUUAUCUCAUUUUAUGAGUUAAUUGGUGAGGGACUAAAUUGCAAAAAUUGUAAAAGUUGGGGUAAUUGUGUAAUUUCAAGUUUUGAGGGGUAUAAAUUGUGAAGUGGAUUAAAUUGAAAUAUAUGCUAAUGAAUGAAAAAUUGUACAUUCUAGAUCAAAAGCUCGUAGAUCAACGAGAAAAAGGGAAAUUAGCCUAGUCUCUGAACUAUUAUCAAUUUUACAAUCCAACCCAGGUAAGUUCAUAUGGUUAAACUUUCAUGAUUAUUUUUCAAUUUAGGAAUUGUAUAGUAUAUUUAUUCAUAUUUUGUUGUUUAAAUUAAGAUUAUUGUAAAAGUAUGAAAAUUGAAUUGAAUGUUUAAAACGACUAGAACGCAGGAUUGAGUACGAUCGUUCUGUGGCAAAGAAUGAAUUGACGGAUAAGACCAUGGUUGGACCAUGGCAAUGUUUAAAUGUAAGACCAUAGCUGGGCUAUGACAUUUUAAUGAAAAAAAAAACCAUAACUGGGUUAUGACACCUUGAACGUAAGACCAUAGUUAGACCAUGGUAGUAUAGAUACAUGUGUAAGACCAUAGCUGGGUUAUGACAUUCUGAUGAUAAGACCAUAACUGAGUUAUGGCACUAGAAAUGUAAGACCAUGGCAGUGUCAUGACAAUGCAUAUGUAAGACCAUAGUUGGACUAUGGCACAAAAAGAACGAUGUACUCAUAUCUGUAAGCCGUUCUUCGAUUCAGUAAGAAAUGAUAACAGACUUAUGUGAUUGAAUUGAAAGAUUUGUAAAUUAUUAUUGAUAUUGAUCUAGAGGAAGUGUGUUUAUUGAUUAUGUUGUAUUUGACAGGGAAUAAUGUAUGAUUUAUUUACAAUUUAAUUUAUUCUAUUAUAUUAAGUUCAGUAAGAUCAAUGUUUAACCUAUUGAAUUUACUAAGCUUCAUUAAACUUACUCGUGUUGUUUAAUGUUCUUGUAGAUUAACGUGUAGUCGGAAGAUCGGACCAACACAUCAAGCUACACUAUCCAAUUUAUUCUAGUAGUUUUUGCAAUGUAAAUUUUGGUUUAUAUGGCAUGUAUAGAGUUGGUUUGGCAAUGAAAUAGUUUGAAUUGUGGUUGUGAAUAUUAAAUGUUUGUAUGCAUGUAAUUAGUAGUAGAAUUUGAUAAAUCAAUGAAAUGAGUUAAAUAGGUAGGUAUAAGUAAAUGAAAUAUUUGUGAUGUUAUGUCAUGUUGAGAACAUGUUUUAGCUUGUAUUGAUUGCUUGGUUAGGAUAUAUUGGUGUAUGUGAAAGUUGAGUACAGGUUAAUGUCAAAAUGGGUGAGAAAAAUGGCCUUAAAAUGGCCUAUUUUUGUUCACACGGGUAGAGACACGGGCAUGUGUCCCCUGCUUCUAAUAAAAUUUUUGAAAAUUUGAGAGAAAUUCCCUGAGUACCCAGUUUAGUCCCGAUUCUCUUCUAAGGUGAAUAUUGGGCCUCUAAGGUCCAUCUAAGGGACAACAUGAGUGUUAUAUAAUUGAUUCCUAAUAUGUGCAACAAAAAUUGGGAAAUGUCCAUAUUUAAUUCGUAAAGUUCGGUAAUGCUCCGUAACCCUGUUUCGGUAACGGAUAAGGGUUAGGGGUGUUACACUCGUUAUUCUAGUAGCGACAUAUAACUGUUAAGUGAUUGUUUCGUAAUAAUCCAAUAAUGUUGCAAAUUUAAAAAUUUUAAAUGUUCAGUGGUUGAGAUGUAAUUUUAAUCUAAAUCAAUGGACAAUUGGUGUAGCUUACCCACUAAAUUUUUAACCGAUAAAACUAAUCCUUAUAUUAAGUAGAUUAUUUGUUCUUAUAACUUGAGAAAUAAAAGCAUGAAUUUAGAAAAGCAUUUAAAUAGGUGAAAAUAUAUUUUAUUUUCCAUCAUAUUACUAAAUCACAUUUAAAAUUAAAUAUAAUAUUUAAUUUAUAAUUAUUAGUUAAAAAACUUGACGUAAAAUAGAAGUUUUGUAAUGAUACAUUUAAAAUUAAUAUAAUUUAAUAAAAAUUGUGAUGAUUACACAUUUAAAAAUAAAAUAAUAUAAUAUAAUUUACAAUUAUUGUUUAAAAAGUUUGAUAUAAACAAAAUUUUACUAAUUUUAAAAUAGAAUUAUUACUCAACAGAACUCUAAGAAAAAAGUUGUGAUAAUUAUAAUUAUAAUUAUUAAUUAUUAAUUAAAAAUAAUUGUGAUAAUUUUAACAUUAUUAUAAGAAUGACUUCUUUAUUUAAAAAAAAAAGUUACACUAAUUCUAUUUACGUAAAAUCGAAUUAUUAAUUGAAUAAAACUUUAAGCAUCUUAAUUAUAACUUAAUUAGUAUAGAGUUGUAUACAAAUUAAAAUUUAACUUUAUUUUUUUAUAUAGUAUUCGGUAAUUAAGUAUAUCCAAUCAAGUAACAUUUUAAAAAAAUUACCGGUAAAAAAAUAGAGAUUGCAAGCAACAGUAAAUUAGAAUUAUAUAAAAGAAGAAUGGAGCAUUAAAGUUAUGAUUCUUCGAAGAGACAAUAUCUAAAAAUAUUCGAACAAUAAUGACACUAGAGACAGAUAGAAUAUUAUUUUAAUUGAUGUUAGGUAAUAUAAUACUCUGAUAUCAUCUUUUUAAAAAAAUUAUAAGUUGUUUAUACUAUGCGUGGUAAGCAAUCCUAAAAUUAUUUUUUAUUUAUCCAUUAUUUGCUUGUAGCAAGUGCAAACCAUUACGUGGAUUUGUUUUGAGAAAAAAUUUAAAGUUAAACGAUUGUUUUGUAAUCAUUAUUAAUUUAGUGUAAAUAUCAUCUGUAUUUAUUUUAUUAUAUAAUUUCAAAUCUGUAUAUUAUUUUAAUAAUUUAAUUUAAUAUUUUUUUUCUAUUUUAAAACGUUAUUUUAUUCUCAAUUUUUUCAAAUUUGGUAUAAAUUAAACUAAUCCUCAUUUAAUUAUCAUAAAUAUAUAUUUUAAAAAUUAAAAAUAUAUAUUAUAUAAUUAAAAAUACAUAAAAUCACGUGUGUUAAACAAUAAUAUGAUUUAAACAAAAGCCAAAUGACUUUAGUUUGUGUAUUUAAACAAAAAAAUAUAUUUCAUAUUUUAAAAUUUCAAUUAAAUAUGUUUGAUUAAAUUUUAUUAUAAAUAUUGCAUUAUGCUUAAAGUUCUAAAUUUAAUCCAUAUUUUUCAAAUUGAUCAUUCUUAGACCCUAUUUUUCUAAAAAGAAAUCAAUUUUAUUUUAAUUUUCUCUCAUAUAUUUUCCAUUUUUUGUCAACCCUUGAAUAUUUUGGGUUAUGAUUGAAAUUCUAAUCUUAAAAGAACCCGACUAUGAAAAUUAAAACUACAACUUGUACAUAAUAUUUAACUCUUUUGAAAAUUUAAUUUACAAAAUUUCAACCGAGUAAGUGCUGGGCCAAAAGGUGGUAAUUGCUAGACUUGAUCCAAUGGCAUAUUUUUGUGACUUUUGUUAUUCAUAGAGAUGUCUUUUCAACUCAGGGUGUGUUUUUGGAUUAUCUAUAAUUCCUUCAGGGGAUUGAAAUUAAAUUGUCAUUUCUAUGAUAAUAAAAAUAUAAUUUCAUCAUUUUAAUAGCCUAUACCUUUAUAAUUUUUAAAGGAUUAAAUCAAAUUUUUUAUAUUUUAAGGGGUCAGAGUAUAAUUUUAUAUUUAUUAAUUUAAAAAUUAAAAAAAACUUCAUUUUGAGGGAGCCAACCCCUACAAACCCCCUUAGUUUCGUCCCUGUAUAAUACGUACCCAUUAAGAUUGCAUUUUAUUUAUUAAUUCAAUGAAUUAUUAAAACAUUCAUGGUAUGAGUAUUACUGCCAAAAUCCAUAGAAAUAAAUAAUUCUCUAAACAGCGAUUUAUAAUUCCUCAAAACCAUCAACUAUGUUUUUGUUUGCUUAUCUAUAUUAGUUUCACUUCUAUUCUUUCAAGUUAUCAACGGUGGAUCUUACAGCACUUUGAUGAUCAAUUGAAGUUUUCUCUUUUUUUAUUCCAACACCCUUAAAUUAUUAUUUAAAUUCUACAUUGGGCCAUAAACUUCAAAACAUUUUAAUUAAGUUUCAAUAUAUAAAUAUUGUAUGAAUCUUCUCCUUUCGUUAGCCCAGACGUAUUAAAUAUAGCAUAGAACAUAUUUAGAACACGUAGAUCAAAUUGUAAAUGCAUAUAUAUGCUAUCACGUAGAUAAUUAAGAUCCAUCAUAUUAAAAAUAGACAGUGCACACGAAUUUAUAAUUUGAUUAAGGUAUUUUAACAAAUAUUUAGGCUUAAACUAAUAAUUAAAUUAACAAAAAGACUUAAUUAACAAUGUAGUAAUGCGAGUUAAAAUAAUUAAAAAAUAAAGGGAUAGUUGGAGGAAUAAUAAAGCCGAAAUUGAAAUGCUUUAUAAAUGUGAAUAUUUUUUAUGAUAUAAGAGGUUGGGGAAAAGUGGACAACUUGUUGAAAAUUUGGUGGAGACAAGGAAACAUAUAGAAAAGUCAUUUCUGGUGACAUUGCAAGCUCUUUAUUUAAUUUAUUUCUUAAUAAUCCUAAUUUGGUUCACCAAAUCAAAAUCUCACACGAGUAAAGGCCGUAUAAAAUAUAUGCUCUAACCUUUUUGGUAGAUUACACGUGUCAACACCAAAGCAAACCUCCACUCUACAAGGAAAAUUCUCAGCCACGAGAAGAAAAAGAUUCUUUAUUUGCUCUUUUUUGAUUUCUUUUUUACGGAAAAUUGCUUCACACGUGUCAAACCAACACGUGUAAGCAAAUUAAAGGGAGAAAAAGAUUUUUAUUAUUAUUUAUUAAUUAAAAACUUUAUAUUUUCUGAAUCGUUGGCAUGGCCUUUUUUUCACUUUACUUUUUUUUUUAGAGUUGGGGUCCACAUGAGAAUAUGAUGCUGAUGUGGCAAAAAUUUGUGAGCCUCACAAUUCGUUGGUGGGACCCAUCACAUGCGGAGCUUAAAAAAUCGGACGGUGACAUGGAUUUUAAAAAAAAAUAUUUCUAUGGGUUUAAUACUUCCCGUGGAAUUUAAAGUCGGACGAAAUUAUUAAAAACUCGUCAAAAAAUCGGAUAAUGCUUGAAAAGCGCUUUUUCUUUUUCCUAAUUAUUUUUUCAUUGCUUUUCACGCAGUUGUAUUUUUUUUUUUAACCACGGUGGUUGACUUGUGAAUAUUUUCUAUUUAUUUUUAAAUUCUUAAAGAAAAAAGAAAAAAAAGAGUGGAGCAUAUGAAGAAAAGUAGGAUUUUCUUUUCAUUGCUCUUUUAAUAUUUUGAUAUGAUGCUUGAUUCUUGUAGAACCUCAUCCACAUUUAACACACCCAAGACAAAUAUUAAGUUUGGGAUUUUUUUAUUAUAGAAAAAUACAUAUUAAUAAGGGGAAUAAAUUAAAUAUUUAAGUUGGUAGUUUAAGAACUUGGUUUAUCUCACAUGUAUGAGUAAAGAGAUAUAAGAAGCAAUAACCUUAUGAACCAUAGAAAAAAGAUAUGAAAAGACUAGGAAGUGGAGUAAUGGGCCAACUUAUAAUAUCAACCACAAAAUAACCCAAAGAAAAAAAAAGAAGUAUAGUUGGCAAUACCAAAAAGUUUGGCAUGGAAUUGAAUGGAAAUUAGCUUGAGGUAAAAAGGAGAGAAAAAAAAAGUACAAAGAAUAUUUAAGAUAAAGAAGAAGAAAAAACUUAUUAGUAUUAAAUUGUAAGACAUUUGAAUAUUAUACUCCAAUAAUAUUAAUAUUAAUGUUGUUUUUUUAGUAUAUUAACAUAAAAUUUUUAUUAUUUCACAUUAGAGCCAAUGAUAAAAAUGAAGUCGAGUUUCCAACCAAUCAACAAUUUGCAUUAACAUUUGAAAGGCGUGAUUUGAUAUUUAUUAGAAAAAAAAAGGAAAAAUAAAUGCUGACUAGGAUAAUGCAACAUAAAACAAGUGAAAGGAAAAAGGAAGUUAUAUAAAAGAAAAAGAAAAGAAAGAGAAAGAUCUUUUAAGGCCACAAAGGAACUUGUGGAUGAAAAUUUACCUGCAUGCUGACGUGGCAUAUCAACUUGUUUAAACAAAUCAAAAACGUAGACUCCACGAGACCAUCAUCGAUUAUACCCCCUUUUUUCCCCUUACAACCAAAUAUUAAAAUUACAAGAUAGGGUAAUGACCAAUUUAAUUUAUGCUUUCAUUUAAAAACACACUCUUGGUUUGAUUAGAAAAACUAAAAACAACACAAGGGAAAAUUCUUAUUUCGAAUACUUUUGAUCUAUUUAUUUUUAUUUAAAUCUACUUCUUUAUUUUUAAUUAAAUUCUAUGAUGCCAAGUUUGAAUUUUUGUGAAUUAGGUUUUGUUAAAGUUUAUACAUUGAAACUGUCAAAAUGAACAAAAAUUUCCUUUUUUUUCUUAACAGGAAAACAGUACAUUUCAUAUUUUAAAAUUAUGAAUUAUUAUUAUUAUAAUUUAAAAAUUAUUUCAACAACAAAUGUUUACUCAUUAAUAUAUAAAUUGUAAUAAAAGUAAUAAUUAUUAUAAUUUGAUGAAAAUGAAGACUAAAAAUUAUUUAAGGAGCUGAACUUAUUAAAAGAAAUUCUAUAAUAAGGACAAUUUAGUAAAACGUAUUUCUCCAUAAUUUUAUUUCCAUUAAUCAAACAUAAAAAUAAUACAUUCCAAUCAAAUAAUAUACCCAACAUUCGACUCUUAAUUUUACAGUUUGAUAAUAAUUUUAUAUUUAUUAAAUCAAACUCCCUCUCUUAAUGCAAAUAUUAGCAAGUUUUACAUAAGAUAAUUCAUGUAUUUAUCUUAGUAUAUUUUUGUUUAUGGUUGUAUCUAAAUUAUAAAGUUUCUAUUAUAUUAGUUUUGCUAUAUUUAUAUAUAUUAAGUCAUGUUGUAAUUAAUUUUUUAUGUAUAUUUUAUUUGUUUUCACGCAAGCAGCUAAUAUUUUUAGUGCUUGACCUUAUUUCGCAAUUUCGCUUGCUAUUUUUAUUCUUGCAAACCCACCCACCAGAAACUAAGAAAGAGAGAGAGAGAGAAAAAGUAAAAACUAUUUUCAAGAAAGAAAGAGAGAAAAGCAUUAUAAAGUUGAUUUUUUUCCUCUUAAAUUUUUUUGAUGACAAUAAAAAGUUUGUAUCAUAGUAGUCAGCUUGUGCUACAAAACUUUCUCUCUCUAGAAAGUUUCAGUUUUUAGUUUUGUGUUGGCUAAGGAUUUUAUAGAGGAAAAAAAGGAAAAAAAGAAAAGACACAGAGAGAGAAAAAAACAGGGGAGAUAACAGAAAAUGUCGGAACCAAAAGAUCCGGCGAUCAAAUUGUUUGGGAAAAUGAUCCCUUUGCCUGAGAAAUCUCCUAAAGUAGCAACAGCGGACUUUUGUGCUACUUGUGGUGAUGAUAACACCAACAAUGAUAAUACUGAUCAUUCUUGUUCUACAAAUUCUUCACCAGAGGAAAACAAAGGGGAAGAGAGAGAAGCUGAAAAGGUAAGGAAAAUUUUAUUUUCUUUUCUUUUUGGGAAAUUUGAGGAAUACCCAUAGUUUAGAAUAUGGAAAUGAAAAAUGGGUUGGUCUUUGAUUCUUAGUUUUUACUAUAAAAAUGGUUGGCUUUUGAAUGUUAAUGAUGUGUGAUUAUUAGGAGAUUGGUUAAAUUUUGGAUCUUGGUUUAAGUAAACAUGAGGUUUUUGGAAGUUAAAAUUGGUCUUGUAGAUGUAUUUUCUUAACCAUAAUCCAAUUGUUCAUCAUAAAAUCUUGGUUAAUUGCUUUUAGAUUAAGUUUGGUUGGCUGUGUUCAUAAGAGUAGCUUGCUUCCUGAGUACUAAGUUAGAGUUCUCCUUUUUCAUGUUUUUGGCAUUUAAUGGAGUUUUUCUUUUACUGCAUCAUUUUGGAAAAUGGUUUUGGAAUCUGAUUCAUGGUUUCAUUUUUCUGGGAAAAUUUUCUGGCUAGCUUCUUUGGAAUUGAUAGUUUACCUUGACAUGAAUUAUAUGUCAUACUUCCAAUUAUUUCAUCAAGUUUAGCUUGGGAAUUGUGAGAGAUGUUAUCUGGAUCUCUUUUCACUGAGGAUCAUCAGCUAUGAUUAGGGUUUUAUGUUCUGAUCCAGCAAAAGCUCAGUCUUUCUGGAAUCAGACUUCUAGUCCCCAUCCCUGUAGAAAGUUACAACCAGUUCUAAUUGAUUCUUAGCCCUACUAAGCUUUCCGUGUUUGUAUAUUGUUUGUGCCGGUUACAUAGUUAAUCUUUCUGGAAUCUGACUUCUACUCCUCAUUCCUGUAGAAAGUUACAACCCGCUUUGACUGAUUCUUAGCCCGAAGUUCUUAAGCGACUUCUCUUAUGUAAUUUCUAUGAUAGUUGUUAGAAUGGUGGUUGCUAUUGCUGUGAAACUGAUUCUCCACAAAGCAAACGCAAGAAAAUGACAACAAAAUGCAGUUAGUUUGGAUAUGCUUUGUUCCUUCUUGUUAUGUAUAAUAUGAUCAUGUUUAUUUUUCUUCAUACGAAUUAUUCAGGACACUGUGGGAGCCAAAACAACGGAUGUUGAACAUGAAGUUGCAGAUAGAAAGGAGGAGGAGGGAUCUAAACAGGAUGAUGGUGCUCCUCCAGUUACUUCUGGAGAGUCCACAAAUUUGGAGGCAAACUCUGGAGCAAGUGACAACUCUAAAACGCCUUCUGCCGAGAAGGAGAGCACUGCUUUAAAAACUUCAAAAACAGAAGAGGAUCAAAGCGAGACCAGUAAUCCGCAAGAAAAAACCUUGAAGAAACCUACUAAAAUUCUUCCAUGCCCCCGCUGCAACAGCAUGGAUACCAAGUUUUGUUACUACAACAAUUACAAUGUCAAUCAACCUCGACACUUUUGCAAGAACUGCCAGAGAUACUGGACAGCUGGUGGGACCAUGAGAAAUGUUCCUGUGGGUGCUGGACGUCGCAAGAACAAGAAUUCAGCUUCUCACUACCGUCAAGUAACUGUCUCUGAAGCUCUGCAGAAUGCUCGUAUUGACAUUCCUAAUGGAGUCCACCAUCCGGCACUAAAAGCUAAUGGUACUGUUCUGACCUUUGGCUCAGACGCACCCCUCUGUGAAUCAAUGGCUUCUGUUUUGAACCUUGCAGAUAAAACAAUGCAUAAUACGACACGGAAUGGGUUUCAUAGGCCUGAAGAGGUAAAAAUUCCUGUCUCUUAUAAGGAUGGAGAAAAUGGGGUUGAGUGUUCAAAUGGAUCAUCUGUCCCGACUUCAAAGGAUGAGGCAGGUAAAUCUGGGUUGCAAGAUCAGAUGAUGCAGAAUUGUCAGGGUUUUCCACCUCAGAUGCAAUGCUAUCCCGGGGCUUUUUGGCCUUACCCGUGGAAUUCAGCUCAAUGGAGCUCUCCUGUACCUCCACCUCCACCUGCUUUCUGCCCUCCAGGUUGCUAUCCGAUGCCAUUCUAUCCUGCAGCUGCUUACUGGGGCUGUACUGUACCUGGCACUUGGAACGGCCCUUGGCAUCCUCAGCCUUCCCCUUCAAAGCAAUCAGCCUCAAGUUCCGGUCCUGAUUCCCCCACCUUAGGAAAACAUUCAAGAGAUGAGAACACGAGCAAACCAAGCAACUCUGGAGAAGAGGAGCAAGUGAAGGAAAAUAAUGCAGAGAGAAGCCUUUGGAUUCCAAAAACAUUGAGGAUCGAUGAUCCGGGAGAAGCAGCAAAGAGUUCUAUAUGGGCAACACUCGGCAUUAAGAAUGAUAAAUCCGAUUCAAUAGGUGGUGGAGGACUGUUCAAAGCAUUUCAAUCAAAGGGUGAUGAAAGGACUGAGGUUCCUGAAACCUCUCCAGUCUUGCAGGCAAAUCCAGCAGCAUUGUCAAGAUCAAUAAACUUCCGUGAGAGCUCAUAAUCGUGUAACUUUAUGACAUUUACUUGCUUAUGGUGCUGCAUACAGCUUGGUGGUGUUAAUUAUUAUACAAAUCCAAACCUACUCUGUUAGCCGCUUGGUCAUAUUCACUCACCAUCCCCUCUAUAUAACCAAUUCUCAAAGUAUGCUAACUGAGGAGAACAGAAGAAGAGUCCUAUCAUAUGGUUUGAAGGCAGAGUGUCUAGCUAGCUUAAGUAGAAACUGAUUUUUCUUCCUUUUGUUUUUUGGGGGUUUAAUUUUGUUUUUGGGAUUCCUUUUUCUUUCCAUUGAUGGUAUGAGCAGGGUUUGCGAGUUCUGUACAUAAAUAUAUAUAUAUAUAUAUAUGAAAUGGUGAGAGGUAGGACCAAGUAAGUUUCUGUACCAUAAAUCCCACUUGUAGUUAAAUAAAUUUGGGAACUCAAGUUAAUCUUCUUAUUCUCUUAAUCUUAAUGUCUUUUUUUUUUUUUUUUUUGAUAAUGUUGGCUGAGUCUACCUUACUUUUAUUUUCUAAAGAUCUCUCAUGAACUGAUAUAUAGAAUCCAUUGUAAUUGCAACUAUGCUCUAUUUCUUCUACACACAAUUGGAUCGAAGUAGCUUUCCCUUUCCAUAACAUAGGUAGAACAGAAACAGGACGCAACUUGGAAGAUAGAGAAAAGUCCAUGUAGGCCCUUCUUUUACAGUUCAACUUGAAUCCUUAUCGCAAAAGGCCAAGUACCUUUCCCUUUCCAUAACUAUAGAAUCCAAACAACUAGCACCAAAAGGUAGAAAGUUUAUCUUAAAGUUUCUUUCUUUUUGUUUCCUCUAAUCCUUUAUUUUUUUUCCCUUUUAAAGAAUUCAGUAAUAUUUAGCAAUUGUGGGUGUUUUCCCUGUCAUAUUUGUGUUUAAUAUAGAUUCUAUAUAUGGUGAUAUAUUCUUUUUGUGUGUGUGUUAACCGUUGAUUUAUGUCUACUACAACAAAAUAUCAUGUAUAAUGUGUCAGGAGACUAGAGCUUAGACCAUUAAAAAAAAGACAUGGAGAUAUUUUGAUUUGUUUUUUUUCCCCUGAAAAAUUUGGGUUCUAUUUGAGCCAUGAACUGGUUAUGGGACCCAAAACAUGUGAUGCUAUUAAUACUCUUGGCCUUCUCUGUUCUUUCUGUUUCUUUGCCUUUUUCUUAUCUAGUAAAUCUUGCAGUUCUUUUCCCCAUCCCUGUUUUGCUAUUCCUUUUUUUGGUCUGGAUUGCAAAUUAAGACUUGUUGCAUUCCAGGUCUUAAAAGCUAGAAGUAUCAACCAAUUGGGCUAAACUCAACUUCUUUGUUUACUUUUUUUUUUUUUUUCCCUUUUCCUUUUAGCAAAAGAAAUUGUAGUCCGGAAAUCAAGAUUCGAAUCCAAAUUUAUAAAAUUUUAACUUUUAGGAUAUGAGCUAAUUAAAUAAAAGCCCGAACUCGAUUCUUUGUAUGUAUAUAUAUAUUAGUGCAAAAGAGAUCAUGGUCUUGAAAUUUAACCUAAAACUCAUUAAACAUCAUUACCUAGAUUAAAAGCAGCGGUAUGAAUGAAGUGAAUUCAAGAUGAUCUCAAUAUUUCAUUUUGGGUCACAUAUCAGAUGGAAACUUUUGUUGGAUAAUGCAAUUGCUGGAUUAUGUGCACUUCCUAUAUCUGCCAGUAGAUAUUUUGGGUUUUUGAUUUCUGAUAUUGUCACAAGGGAAUCUUAACCAAAUAAUGUUGGGUUUAUUUCCCUCUUUGUGAGAAAGGCCAACCAUCUACUAUCUCCAUUUUCAUCCACAUUGAAUUCUAAAUUUUUAUGAGAGUACAAUUAAAAUUUUAUAAUUUUAAGAUUAUAGGUUUUAAAGGGACCACAACCAAAAAUUUCCAAUUUAAAGGGCCAGGGCCGCCGCUUUUGGAUUUUAUCGGUUCCAUUUGAAUUAUCUAUUUAAUAUAAAAUCAAUUUAGUACAGACUUUGAAAAAGAUGGAAAAAUGACCUAUGACUGGCCAUAAUUCAUAGCCACAAAACCCUUGGAUGUGAUUCUAAAUACUGCUAACCACAUGUAAAUAAACCCUACAUAUAUAGUGUUUUUAAGCAUCCCCAUAAUCAAUGGUCAAUCAUAAAUAAAUCUUAUUAUUAAAUUGGAUUGAUACAAUUAACAAUUCCUAAAUUGUUUUCUUUAAAAAGUACAGCUAAAUCAAUCAUAGGGUUUUGGGAUUAAAAAGUCAACCUUAAGGUUAUAGUAUUUUAAAGAAGGGUUUUGAUUUAAUUUAUCAAAACUAAUAUUAAUUUCUUCAUUAAUAAGAGUUUUGAUUUAACUUAUGAACUGGACGUACCUAACUUUCUCUUCUUCUUUUUUUUUUAAAAUUUUAACUUAUUCAACUAUAACCAACCAUUUUUAAUUCAUAUAAAUAAUUAUUAAUUUUAUUUAUAUUUUUUAAUUAAAGGAUGUAAUUCAGUAAUUUACUAGAAAUACGAGAUAUUGUGAACAACAAUAAACCGAUUAGAAAUUAUCUAAACAAAGUUGGUUGAAGGUAAAUACAAAUAGGAUAUACUAAGAUUAUUUAGGUUUUACAACUGCAAACAAAGGCGAAUUUAGAGAGGCAGGCAAGACAAGGACAUUGACUCUCGUAUAAAUGGGAAAUUUAAAUAUAUAAUAGAAAAAACAACCAAGAUAACUUAUCUGAAAAUUUUGAUAAUAUAUCAUUACUUUUCACUUUUCUCUCUUAUUUGGAGUCCCCAAUAGGUUGUCUUUAACAAACAUGGGUUCUGUAGCAAAGCACUGUAGAUGUGCUUAGCUGAGUUGCCAACACCUGUCUUUUUUUAUUUUUUAUUGUAUGGAAGGUUUGCUGGAUGGCUGGGGAAAGAGAGAAAAAAAAAGGAAGGAAAAAUAAAAAUAAAAUUGUUAUUUAUUUAUCUUGAUUUAAAAAAAUAAGUUAUAGAAAACAUUUAAAUAAUUUUUUCUAUGUAAUGCAUCUUAAAUUUUUUAAUUAAUUUUAUUUUAAAAUAAUAUAUUUAAAUUGAUUGGUCUAGAUGUUGAUUCUCGAAUUGAUUUAAAAAUUUUCUCGACCAGUCGAUCUAUUUAUUAAAAAGUAUAAAUAAAAUAAUUUCAAAUAAUGAAUUUUGAAUUAUUUUAAAAUAUUUAUUUACAAAUUCAAAUUCGAAAGUUAAUUUUGGAUUUAUAAUUUGUAACGAUUUACUUGUCAUUUUUCUAUUAUAUUAUGUAUUUAAAUGGUUAAUUUUAGGUUAAUUAUAGGUUGGCCGAGAAUAAUGAGUAUUUAUAUUCUGUAGAAUAUAAAUUUAUUUAUUUUCGAAUGAUAUAUUUAAAAUGAUUAAUUUAGGUAAUAAUUUGAAUUCUUUAAUAAUUAUAAUACAGUUGAAUUUUUUUUUUUUUUGUGAAACAAAAGAAACCUACCAUAAAAAAAUUAAACUAAUUCCUCCAGUGGGAAUCUUUCAAUGAGGCCAUUUGUAAAAAUAUUUUUUACUCAGAGUAACAUGUUGAAUAUUCUAAUGUGGAACUUGAACUUGAUGUACACUCCUAAUCAAAGUUCAGUUCAUUAAAAUCAACAAGUAUUUAUAAAAAAGAUUACAUUAAAUUCUAGACUUUAUUAAAACUCGCUCGGUCUAUAAUCUAUGUGGAGAUAAAUGUAAGUUUUUUAAAGUCCUUAAUUUCAUUGGAUCUGAAGAAGCUUAGCAGCUUCGUAGAAGCAGUCAUUCAACAGCGUGUUUAUAAAAUCUGGGAAGUAGCCAUUCCUCAGGACUGUUAAAGAAAUAAUGGGUGGUUCUUGGUUUCUCAAACUACUACUUCUUUCAAUGCUUUUCAUUCUCUCCUUCUCUCAAGGUAUUACUUUGUUUUUAUUUCAUGUUUGCUGCUGCUUCUUUGUUUUCUUGCUCUUCUUAUCUAUAUUUACACUUUGUUUUGUUUCUCAAUGGGUUAGGAUUGGGUAGGAAAUGGAUGGAGAAUAAUGUUGAAUUUCAAGAUUACAGUGUUCAAUUGGAGGUUGAUUUUUCUCUAUUUCCUUUGAUUUUAUCUCGUCUUUUAUUUUCAAUCUUAGGAGCUAAAAUUGGGUUUUCUUUUUCUUUUUUUAUAAAUGUAUGGGAAGCAGGAAUUUGCAGAGAAAGCAAGGGAGAUGAUGGAAAUCAUGGAUUAUAAAGAGCCAGGGCCAAAUACGAACCCCAGAACUAGUUACAUAUUUGGCCCUCCUCCCCAACCACAACCCUAGCUCUGUUUUACUUGGUUCUUUUAUUGCCUUAAUUAUGUAUGUUUGAAUGAAUUGCAGAACCACAACCCUUUCUCUGUUACAUGAAAAUGGCACCUUUUUUUUUUAUUACUCCUAAUGUUAUGUAUGUAUGUAAGUAUGCUGGAGUUAUUGAUUGUAAGGGAAUACGAGUGACAAUAACCGAAUUAUCCAUUGAACUCUGUAACCGCAAUUUUUAGUUCUGGUCUGUUUUUGUCUAAGAAAUGUCACUGUUGAAAAACCAUCGACAUAAAAAGAGAGCCUAACUAUAGGUCCAUAGGUACAUGGUGGGGCCAGGGCUUUGGAAUCCCACUGAUUUAUAGUAUUAACAGGUUGUUCUGAAAUAAUAUAUAUAUAUACAUGGCACUCAAAUUUUACUUAAAUCGAUUAAUUUUUUAAAAAUAUUUUUUGGUUACAAGUUACACACUAUUGAUAAUAACAAAUCAAUGUCGCACAUGCACCCAUCAGUAGCAUGCAAUUUCUACGGUUCAAUCCGACAUGAGUGUGGGAUGAAUGCCUUCAGGACAAAAUGCUGGGAUCUUUCUUUUGUGGAUAAGUCAACAUGUUAAUUCAUUCAAAGAAAAGAAGCAUAACCAGGAAGCUACAAAUGCUCUUAGCAAGCGCAUAGGCAUAUUCAUAGUAAGCUUACAACAAUACAAAUCUAUCUCGAAUAGACCCCUUAAUUUGAUGAAACAAAGACUGAACCGGACUUGGUGAUCGCCCAUCAAGCCUUCUAUUCCUUUCCUGCAAGAGCUAUGUGCAAUCUCAAACCAACAAGCCUGCAUAAUGAUCUUCCAUAACUGAUUCCAAUAUGAACAAUCAACAUAAUAAACACGCAGCAUCAACCUGACAACCCCAACAUAUAGUCUACUGUAAUCGAUUUAGAAUAGCCAACCAAGAAAUGAAGGAGCUUAUUAUUGAAAGUUUCAUAUCUAACCAAGUUUUCUUCUGAAUUGCUCAAUGACACCAUCCGACUUUAAAUAACUUUUUAAGCUUUUGUUGUGAGAGGUCUGAAGUUGGUAUCUGGUCUUCACGAAACAGGAAAGUUUUUGAAAGAGUCCUUCAAUUUCUGAUAGCAGAUAUGAAACAUUAAUUGCUGUUUGUUGGGGGAAUUCUCUACAAGCCCUUAGUUUGCAAAUACGUUGUUGAUAAAUUCUCCCUACAAAGAACUACUUAAUUCCCCACAUACUGCAAUAGUUCCUCAUUCAUUCAAGUUCCAUGUUUUUAUAAUUUUAUAUUUUUAUUACGUCACAUAGAGGUGGCCGUGGCUAACAUUUGUGCCCUUUUCUUUGAAAAUAGAAUGAAUGAAAAUAUGAAUGAAGGGAAAACAAGUACGACCGAUGGCAACAAGCCGCUAAGCAAAAAAAAAAGGAACACAGACAAUUCCAGAGUACAAAUUCUUGGUUCUGUUCACUCCAAAACUUUCAACAAUCUCUGAAGGUCACAUAUAAAGUAAAUUCUCAAAAUGUUGACCAAUCAGAACUAGUUAUACGUUCUAUUACUACUUUACAAUAUAUUUUCUAAUAAUGCGACCUAAGCUAUGCCCUGUCUCAUCCACAUAUUGAAAAUGUACUAAUCUCCCUGACUUGCACAACAUUAAUAAGAACACUGUACCAAAGAAGCCUGACAAAAAUCCCAAUUCUACGGUUAGAAAGAACCAGUCAACUUGGUGUUGAUCCUCUCGAUUUUUCGGUACACCGCCGGUGCCGAACCUCACAUCAGUGGAACUCUCACUUAGUGGUGGCCCAAAAAGCUUGGUGCCAUAAAAGCUGUCAGCAUUCAAGCUUUGCAGCUGAGUUCCUGUGGGGAUUUUUCCAGUAAACUUGUUGUAGGACAAGUUGAGGUGACUCAAGAAAGAGAGGUCUGAGAUUGUUAGAGGGAUUUCACCAGAAAGAUUGUUUGUUGACAAAUCAAAACAUUCCAAUGAUGUCAUUGCUCCUAUGUUAUAAGGGAUCCUUCCAACUAAAUGACUAUGUGAGAAAUUCAAUGAUUGCAGGCCUGCAAGACUUGUCACCUCCUCAGGGAUUUCACCAGAUAAGUUAUUGUCUGAAAGGUCCAUUGUUUUAACCAAUUUAAGAGUAGUGUCAUAGUUCACAACCCUUCCUUUCAUCACAACUAAAAUAUCCUCAAAAAAGCUUCCUUUUGAGGUUCUAUAAAAUAUUUUGUCAUCUGAAUUAUUUCCCGAGUUCAUAGCACUGAGAUUGUUGAUACAGCUGGGUAUCUCACUUACCAAAUUGUUGUGGGCAAGGUCUAGGAUUUGCAGAUAGGAUAGGGCACAAAGUUCUUCAGGUAGGGUACCUGUAAACUUGUUUGAGUGAAGGCUUAAGAUUAUCAACUUUGGUAACCUCUCUCCCAUCCACCCUGGAAUAUCUCCAGAGAGUUGAUUAUAACCAAAAUCAACAGUAACCAAUUCACCGCAAUGUCUUAAAGAUGAGGGUAUUUCACCAACAACAGAGUUGUUUCGAACGUGUAAAGAUUGAAGCAAAGUUAAAGCUCCCAUGGACCCUGGAAUCUUGCCACUAAAAUUGUUGUCACAAAGUUUGAUCCCUACUAAUCUUGACCACUUCUUCCAGCAUUCAGGUAUUUUACCUGAUAGGAGAUUAUGACCGAGAUUUAGAAUUUCCAAUUUCAUUGGCUCAUUCAGCUUGUGGCACAAGAAAUGCGACAUUGAUCCUGACAGGGAAUUGAAAGAAAAAUCUAUGGCGGUCACGUUGGAGGAGAGAAGAGGAAGUGAACCUGUAAAGUUAUUACAACUGAGAUCUAUCAAGACAGAAGGUUGAGUCAUUGUGAGUAGAUCAGGAAUGUUGCCUUGGAACUGAUUUCGAGAGAUGUUGAAGUAGGACAGAUUGGAAGACAUGUUCCAAAACCAGGUUGGAAUUUCAGUUUGUCUGAAAUCAUUGUCGCUUAGGUCCAAGUAAGUUAAAUGGUUCAAAUCUAGCAGAGCUGGAUUCAACUUACCUCCCAACUUUCUGGUACCGCGGGAACUUCCAAGGUGGAGCUCAAUAACAUGGCCACUCACAUUGCUGCAUAUAAUUCCAUCCCAUCUGCAACAAUCUCCAUUUUUGGUCCAACUGGAUAGUCGAUUUGAAGGAUCUUUGAGAUGCUGCUUGAACCUCAAAAGAGCUUGCCUUUCGCUUUGAAUACAAGUCACGUUGUGGUUUCUGCCGCAAAAACUUAGUUUAAAAGAUUCUAAGAACACCAACAUUAGGAAAGUUACUGUAACAGGACUCAUGAUCUUCAUGCAAAUCUAUAAAAUUAACAUAUAUUUUGCUUAUGAACACUCUGACAGAACCCAAUUUCUAUUCAAUUGAGUAUACUUGUUAAAUUAUUUGGAUAGAUGAAAAUGUCCGCUACUUUUUCACUUCUAUGAUAUAUUUUCUACAAAAGCCCAAAUUGGACCAGACCUAUCUAAACUGGAAAAGUUUUCCAACCUUUAGAAAAUGAACCAUGCUUAUUUUUCAUCUGAUACUCAGCACCUACCUUCCUAGUCCUUUUCUAUGUUUUAACUUAUUGAAUUUUCUGCUUUUAAUUGAUCAACCUUCCUGUACUCCUAAUGGUUUUAAGUCUUUUCUUUUUCUUCCUUAUCCUGGGACUAAAAGUCUCUGAGUUUCUAUCACGCUUCUUAAGCAAAGGUUUCCACAUGCCCCACUUGUCUACCUAUCCAUCCCUGAAUUAGUGGGAUGAAACCUAACUUAAUAAUAAUAGCUUUUCAAAUUUAGAUAAUUUCCAUAUGCAUAUAAUCUUAGGUAUUGUUCGAAAGUGCUUUGAUUUUAAUGUAUGUAGUGUCUGUAUAUAAACUUAUUCAAACAUCAACAUGACUACUGAAGUCAAAAUUUAAAAAGAUUUUAAGCAAAAAUACUAAACCUUAAAAGUGGACUUGAUGGAAAAAUAUGGAUGGACUUAAUCUAUUUUCAAAUUUAUAAUAUUUUUCAUUUAUGUUAUGUAUAAUAUUUGAUUUUUAUCAUAAGAAAAACUAAAUAUAUUAUACUACAAAUCUACAAUGCAAAUAUUUUAAAAAAUAUAUAUGUUAAGUUGUAUAUAUUUAAAAGUCAAUAAAAGGAAAAAGAAUCUGAGCAGACUUAAAAUUUGAAGCAAAUAUUUUAGAUCAAGCCGAACUUGUCACUACAUGUGACAUUUAUACCAUGCAUGGACUCGACCUAAACUUGAUUUGACCUGACUUGAUCUAUUUUCAAAUUUAUAAUAUAUUAUUUUUGUUUAUUAGGUAAUUAAUUUACAAGAAAAAUAAAAUAUAUUACAUUAUAAUGCAAAUAUUAAAAAGUAAGUUAAGUUUUAUAUGUUGAAAAUUUUAAUAAAAUAAGUACACAUAUAAUUAAUAAAUAUUAAUUAAAAAAACGAUUAUGUUUUUAAAUAAAAAAUUGAUCAAAAUUUAAAACUCAUAUUUGGAGCUAGAUUGAACUUUGAUAACUAUGCAUAGGUUUGGCCUAAACUCAACUUGAAUAGGCCCAUAAGCAUAUCUAAGAUUACGGAAUGUUCAAAUAUUUAUAUAUAAACUCGAAUUCGAUGUCUUAUAACAUAUUAAAUCUUAUUUGAUUUGAAAUUUUAUAUUUAACAAUUAAUUUAAUAAAUUUGAAUAUUAAACAAAUCUAAAGAUCUUAAUAUAUCAUAGUACGAUCUAAAUGCAGAUUUAGUAUCAGAUAAAAAAGAUGGUUAAGUUUUGUAAAGCCCGAAUUGGGCUGCCACAUUUUAACUCCUGUUCAUAAGUUUUAACUUAAAGAUUAAAUUUAAAAUUGAAUGGGAGAAUGUGCCACUUCUAUUGGACGUCACAUGUGGGGUUUUCACGUGUGCAAACUAAACACACCUGAUAAUUUAUAUUAUAUUAUGUAAUUUAAGAUCUCAUGGAAGUAAAACUAGAUUACACUUUAUUCAUACAUACCAAUGAGUUGUUUUUUACUAUCAUCUACGUAUCAUAGCUAAUCAAUUUAACAACUUCUCAUCGCAUUUAAUCCAACAUAGCAAACUAAAAUUUGAAAAGGAAAUCUCAUUUCAAUGUCUUUGUGGAACAAAUGGGAGCCCGAAUGGCCGAAACACACUCUUUUUUUUUUUUUACAUUAAUAUAGAUUUGGAAAGUAAAUGAAUUACACCGUGUCUGACAAUAAAAAGCAUUUAAAGGCCUUGAUUUCAUUGGAUCUGAAGAAGCUUAGCAGCUUCGUAGAAGCAGUCAUUCAACAGCGUGUUUAUAAAAUCUGGGAAGUAGCCAUACCUCAGGACUGUAAAGGAAUAAUGGGUGGUUCUUGGUUUCUCAAACUACUACUUCUUUCAAUGCUUUUCAUUCUCUCCUUCUCUCAAGGUAUUACUUUGUUUUUAUUUCAUGUUUGCUGCUGCUUCUUUGUUUUCUUGCUCUUCUUAUCUAUAUUUACACUUUGUUUUGUUUUUCGAUGCUUAGGAUUGAGUGGGAAAUGGAUAGAGAAUCAUGUUGAGUUUCGAGAAUACAAUGUUCAAUCUAUUUCCUUUGAUUUUACCUAGUCUUUUAUUUUCAAUUUCAGGAGCUAAAAUUGGGUUUUCUUUUUCUUGUCUAUUUUUAUAAAUGUAUGGGAAGCAGGAAUUUGCAGAGAGAGGAAGGGUGUAACACCCCCUAACCUCAAACCGUCACCGGAACAAGGUUAUGGAGCAUUACCAGACAUAUCGGAAACUUAUAACUAAUUCACAAUUAAAUAACAGAUAUAGCAUACUUGUAUCAAAUAUGUCAUAUUAGUUUCAUUUCAUACUUAUAACCAAUUUAAACAUCAUUCUACAACCGUAAUAACAAAACUUUUAUUCUUAACCUAUACAUCACCUAGGUACAUGCCACAUUAUCAAACAAAGGUACAACACUAAAAUUUCUCUGAGUUCGGGAUUGCUCUGGAUGCUGGACCGGACACUGACUUUUUACUAACCUGCGCUCGGAGACAACCGCACGCUGAGUAUAGAAAUACUCAGUGGUAUUACCAUAAUUCAAAUUAAUAACAUUAAUCGAUAAAUUAUAUACAUUUAAAUUUAUGUCUACAAUUAUUCAAUACAUUUUCUCGUACUUUAAAUCAACCUAAUAAUUAAUAACAAGAAGCAAUAUUUCAAAUCUUGUAUUUAGUUGUAUUCAUACCUUAUUUCACUAUCUCAAUUCUAUUGGAUUUUUCGACAUCUCAUUCUAAUAAUUCAUUCCAAUUCAUACAAAUUCAAUCAAUUUAUCAACUCAUUCAUUAUCAUUUCUAUUUAUAUUCAAUUUAUACUUUUCAAUCUUUUAAUAAUCAAAUUAAACAUUUAGACCAACAUGUUUCAAUAAUAAUAAUAACUAAUUUUAUAAAAUUUGUAUUCAAAUUAACUCAUACACUAUUUCUUAAUUCAAUUUAUACCAUUAAUCUUUCAAUAAACAUUUAAUACAUUAAAUCAACUUGUUUCAACAACAGUAAUANNNNNNNNNNNNNNNNNNNNNNNNNNNNNNNNNNNNNNNNNNNNNNNNNNNNNNNNNNNNNNNNNNNNNNNNNNNNNNNNNNNNNNNNNNNNNNNNNNNNNNNNNNNNNNNNNNNNNNNNNNNNNNNNNNNNNNNNNNNNNNNNNNNNNNNNNNNNNNNNNNNNNNNNNNNNNNNNNNNNNNNNNNNNNNNNNNNNNNNNNNNNNNNNNNNNNNNNNNNNNNNNNNNNNNNNNNNNNNNNNNNNNNNNNNNNNNNNNNNNNNNNNNNNNNNNNNNNNNNNNNNNNNNNNNNNNNNNNNNNNNNNNNNNNNNNNNNNNNNNNNNNNNNNNNNNNNNNNNNNNNNNNNNNNNNNNNNNNNNNNNNNNNNNNNNNNNNNNNNNNNNNNNNNNNNNNNNNNNNNNNNNNNNNNNNNNNNNNNNNNNNNNNNNNNNNNNNNNNNNNNNNNNNNNNNNNNNNNNNNNNNNNNNNNNNNNNNNNNNNNNNNNNNNNNNNNNNNNNNNNNNNNNNNNNNNNNNNNNNNNNNNNNNNNNNNNNNNNNNNNNNNNNNNNNNNNNNNNNNNNNNNNNNNNNNNNNNNNNNNNNNNNNNNNNNNNNNNNNNNNNNNNNNNNNNNNNNNNNNNNNNNNNNNNNNNNNNNNNNNNNNNNNNNNNNNNNNNNNNNNNNNNNNNNNNNNNNNNNNNNNNNNNNNNNNNNNNNNNNNNNNNNNNNNNNNNNNNNNNNNNNNNNNNNNNNNNNNNNNNNNNNNNNNNNNNNNNNNNNNNNNNNNNNNNNNNNNNNNNNNNNNNNNNNNNNNNNNNNNNNNNNNNNNNNNNNNNNNNNNNNNNNNNNNNNNNNNNNNNNNNNNNNNNNNNNNNNNNNNNNNNNNNNNNNNNNNNNNNNNNNNNNNNNNNNNNNNNNNNNNNNNNNNNNNNNNNNNNNNNNNNNNNNNNNNNNNNNNNNNNNNNNNNNNNNNNNNNNNNNNNNNNNNNNNNNNNNNNNNNNNNNNNNNNNNNNNNNNNNNNNNNNNNNNNNNNNNNNNNNNNNNNNNNNNNNNNNNNNNNNNNNNNNNNNNNNNNNNNNNNNNNNNNNNNNNNNNNNNNNNNNNNNNNNNNNNNNNNNNNNNNNNNNNNNNNNNNNNNNNNNNNNNACCUUAAAUGCGCAAUCACUCGGACAAUGAUAUUGCACGACAUUAGCUACGUAAUUAAACAAUUAAAAAUCAUUAAUACACAAUUUCAUUAAAAUAUUUCCAUUUAUGCCUAAACUUCACCUAAAUUCUAAUUUAAUCCCUUAUCAAUACUAAUUUUAUUUUUCCAAUCUAACUCCAUAUUCUCUCUUAAUUCUUACUAUAAAUUCACUUUAACUCUUCAUUUUCACCAUAAAUCCAUAAUUUCGAAAUUCUCUCAAUUUAGUCCCUAUUAAUUCAAAGCCUAUAAUUUAUUUUACAAAUCAACCUUUUACUAACUUCUAACUUGAAAUUUAAUCAAUUUAACCCUUAAUCCUUUCAUUUAUUCAACAUAAUCAAUGUCUAGAAAUAUAAUAACUUCCAAAAUUUCAACAUAAAUCCAAUAAUACUUUGUUCUAGGACACCACACACUCAAAAAUUAUAAGAAAAUGACUUAAUUUAACUUACCAAGUGAGUUUGGAAUCUUAAAAUCCCAAAUUUUCUUCCUUUCCUUCCCUUUUUCUUUUU
rnacentral:lncRNA from 1 species